ensembl:snoRNA
CUGGUCAUGAAUCAAGGCUAGAAGUUUCCUAAAGAUGUUGGUUGCAAGUGGGGAACUAAUGUGGUAUCAUUUUAUGGUCUGCUGGCCAUUUGAACUUUAAAAAUAUAACAGUCAAUUCCUUGGCUAGAAAUAGCU